UACGGAGGGUGCAAGCGUUAUCCGGAUUGACUGGGUUUAAAGGGUGCGUAGGUGGGUCUGUAAGUCAGUGGUGAAAUCUCCGAGCUUAACUCGGAAACUGCCAUUGAUACUAUAGGUCUUGAAUUAUCUGGAGGUAAGCGGAAUAUGUCAUGUAGCGGUGAAAUGCUUAGAUAUGACAUAGAACACCAAUUGCGAAGGCAGCUUACUACGGAUCGAUUGACACUGAGGCACGAAAGCGUGGGGAUCAAACAGG
rnacentral:rRNA from 1 species